UACGGGGGGGGCAAGCGUUGUUCGGAAUUACUGGGCGUAAAGGGCUCGUAGGCGGCCAACUAAGUCAGACGUGAAAUCCCUCGGCUUAACCGGGGAACUGCGUCUGAUACUGGAUGGCUAGAGUUUGGGAGAGGGAUGCGGAAUUCCAGGUGUAGCGGUGAAAUGCGUAGAUAUCUGGAGGAACACCGGUGGCGAAGGCGGCAUCCUGGACCAACACUGACGCUGAGGAGCGAAAGUGUGGGGGAGCGAACAGG
rnacentral:rRNA from 1 species